GGUGGAAAUCCCAGCGUUUUGGGGCUCCCAGAAUCACUUCCAGCAAAUUCUGGCCUUGGGGUUCCCUUCUGCCAUUUUGGGUGCAAAUCCCAACUUUUGGGGCUCCAGAAUCACUUCAGCAAAUCCCACCCUUGGGGUUCCCUUCUGCUAUUUUGGGUGCAGAUCCCAGCGUUUUGGGGCUCCCAUUUUCCACUUCCAGCAAAUCCCACCCUUGGGGCUCCCCUCUGCCAUUUCUAGGUCAGCAAAUCCUGGCCUUGGGGUUCCCUUCUGGCACUUUGGGUGCAAAUCCCAACAUUUUGGGGCUCCAGAAUCACUUCCAGCAGAUCCGGCCCUGGGGAUCCCUUCUGGCAUUUUGGGUGCAAAUUCCAAGAUAUUGGGGCUCCAGAAUCACUUCAGCAAAUCUUGGCCUUGGGGUUCCCUUCUGGCAUUUUGGGUGCAAAUCCCAACUUUUGGGGGUCUCAUCUUCCACUUCCAGCAAACCCCACCCUUGGGGAUCCCCUCUGCCAUUUUGGGUGCAAAUCCCAACUUUUGGGGGUCUCAUCUUCUACUUCCAGGUCAGCAAAUCCACCCUUGGGGAUCCCUUCUGGCAUUCUGGGUGCAAAUCCCAGCGUUUUGGGACUCUCAAAAUCACUUCCAGCAAAUCCCACCCUUGGGGUUCCCUUCUGCUAUUUUGGGUGCAAAUCCCAACUUUUGGGGCUCCCAUUUUCCACUUCCGGCAAAUCCCACCCUUGGGGAUCCCUUCUGGCACUUUGGGUGCAAAUCCCAACUUUUGGGGCUCCAGAAUCACUUCCAGCAAAUCCCAAUCUUGGGGACCCCUUCUGGCAUUCUGGGUGCAAAUUCCAGCGUUUUGGGGCUCUCAAAAUCACUUCCAGCAAAUCCCACCCUUGGGGUUCCCUUCUGGCAUUUUGGGUGCAAAUCCCAACAUUUUGGGGCUCCCAGAAUCACUUCAGCAAAUCCCACCCUUGGGGAUCCCCUCUGGCACUUUGGGUGCAAAUUCCAAGAUAUUGGGGGUCCAGACUCACUUCAGCAAAUCCCACCCUUGGGGAUCCCUUCUGCUAUUUUGGGUGCAGAUCCCAGCGUUUUGGGGCUCUCAAAAUCACUUCCAGCAAAUCCUGGCCUUGGGGUUCCCUUCUGGCAUUUUGGGUGCAAAUCCCAACAUUUUGGGGGUCUCAUCUUCCACUUCCAGCAAAUCCCACCCUUGGGGUUCCCUUCUGCUAUUUUGGGUGCAAAUCCCAACUUUUGGGGGUCCCAUUUUCCCCUUCCAGCAAAUCCUGGCCUUGGGGAUCCCCUCUGGCACUUUGGGUGCAAAUCCCAACUUUUGGGGGUCUCAUCUUCCACUUCCAGGUCAGCAAAUCCACCCUUGGGGUUCCCUUCUGGCAUUUUGGGUGCAAAUUCCAAGAUAUUGGGGCUCCCAUUUUCCACUUCCAGCAAAUCCCACCCUCGGGGAUCCCCUCUGCCCCAUUUCUAGGUCAGCAAAUCCCGGCCUUGGGGUUCCCUUAUGGCAUUUUGGGUGCAAAUCCCAACAUUUUGGGGCUCCCAUUUUCCACUUCCAGCAAAUCCCACCCUUGGGGAUCCCCUCUGGCAUUUUGGGUGCAAAUCCCAACUUUUGGGGCUCCAGAAUCACUCCAGCAAAUCCCGGCCUUGGGGAUCCCCUCUGCCAUUUCCAGGUCAGCAAAUCCGCCCUUGGGCUCCCCUCUGCUAUUUUGGGUGCAGAUCCCAGCGUUUUGGGGCUCUCAAAAUCACUUCCAGCAAAUCCUGGCCUUGGGGUUCCCUUCUGCCAUUUUGGGUGCAGAUCCCAACAUUUUGGUGCUCCCAGAAUCACUUCAGGGCUCCUCUUGUCCUUCUCAGAGGCUCCCACACAUUUUGGGUCUUUCUUCACCUUUUUAGGCCUCCCCUUGACCAUUCACACUUUUGGGGCUCCACUCUGUAAUUUUGGGGUGANNNNNNNNNNNNNNNNNNNNNNNNNNNNNNNNNNNNNNNNNNNNNNNNNNNNNNNNNNNNNNNN
rnacentral:lncRNA from 1 species